UCCGCUUCAGAAGCGGUUUCCACCUGCUGCCGACACUUGGCGAGCCCCGAAUCCAAACAGAGCAAACGCACACACCUUGAACCGGCUUCGCCACGAAAAAAGGGCGAACCAGCGCUCUGCUCUUUUCACGCGCGCGCCGAUGUAAGAGCUUGGAUAACGGAUCGAAAAUUGGGCAACGAAAUUGUGCGUGGAUACAUAUUUUAAUUCGAGUUUCCUUUGAAUUUUUGACGGUCGUUAAAAGAAAAGAAACAGGGAUAUAAGUAAAUAGAAAAUAUUGAAUGGAUGGGCAAAUAUCGGACGUCGAAAUUAUGUGUUUAUCGAGUAAUAGGUAUUUAAAUUGAAUUUCGAUUCCAAUCGACCAAAGUUCGGACAAAGUUUUCUUCGUAUCUUGUCAAACAUAGAGAAAAGACAAUAUAUGUAAACUUUUCGUAGAUCAAACAAUAGGAUCCAAACUGUGCAUUUAUAUUGAAAUCCUCGAAUCGAAUAAACUUUGAAAUUUCUUUUGUAUUUCGUCACUUGAAAAAAAAAAUUAUAUACCAUCAUGUUCUACAAACACGUCAACAUUUAAAACCAGGAUAUUCAAAUUAAGUGAAUUUCUCAUAAGAUAAUAUAUGAACACUUGUGAUUGAAUGUAUAUAUACAUAUAUUUUAAAUCUUUUCACAUUCCAUUGCUAUUUGUAACCGAUAUCAGCAAUUUUUCUCCAAUUUAUCGAAUCUUUCAUCGAUCAAUUCAAAUGUUUCUCAAUCCUAUCGCUACUCGUAACCGUCUAUCGCCACCUUUUCGUUUCCAAGUUUAUCAAACGUUUCGUCGAUCGAUUCAAAUAUUGUUCAAACAUGUCCCCGCUCGAUCCCAUCGCUACUUGUAACCGAUAAUCGCCGAGACUGUGCGAAUCGCGAGUCCAUCGAAAUUUUCAUCGGCCAAUCAAAUCAUCGCGCGCUGCUAACGUAUCUGCCAUCGUUACUCGCGAGCGACAAUAUUUUUACCACCUUCUAAGCAAACGCUACCUCGUCUCUUUAGCGCGCUCAUCUACGAAUCUUCUUUAUAAUUAUCACGUUAGGAAGAUAUAACCGGUUUCCCCCUCCCCCCCGAUAUUCCGUACGAACAAUGAGUAUUUGUAUUUUCGUUCCUCUUUAUUUCCUUAUCCCGAGUUGUGCACGCAUGAAAAAAGUGUUUCUUAAAAAAAAAAAAAAAAAAAAAAGGCCGACGUUUCUGCGGUCUCGUUGCUUAGAAUAAACACCGAGAUAAUGUUAUCGCGUUUGGAAACACGAAUCGCAUUGUCCGUAGUGACGUUUGGUCAUUCAACAGUUUGUAAUUAAUUGCAUCAAUUACAGUGGCCUAUGCGUGUAUACACGUUUUUAUAGUUUAGACUGUUAUUACCGUCUGUAGAUAGCGUCUCGUUAUGCGCGAUGAAUUAUUGCUUUUAAUCUGUCCCGCGUAUUUCAUAUGCGAUCGUCGAAAAUAAACUCGAAAUAUAAUUUGUAGCCGCCGUAUAAAUAUCAUUGCAAUUAUAUUUAUACAUCGAAUCGAAUUUUUAUCUCCAGCUCCGUUGCUCCAUUUUUCGUUCCGUUUUUUAUUACUUCGUUCGAUUACUUCGAUCGAUUGCCAAUCAUUUUUAAUCGUGCAUGGGAAUUCGUUUCGCGGGAAAGAAAAAAAAAAAAGAAACGAUUUUUUCUCUCUCUCUUCCCCUCCCGUCCGAUUUUCGCGACGAAAAUUUCGAGAGUCGGGCAAACCGAUGUCUCGAAAAACGAAUCGUCACUGUCGUAUUCUCGCCCAGUGAUUCACAAUUUAUAAAUAAUAGCCGUAUAACGGAUAAAAUUUUGAUUAUUUCGAGCUUCAAAAUGUGUCAAAAGCAAAUUUGAGGGAGAGCGCAGUGAUGUUGAAAAAAGAAAGAAAGAAAGAAACGCGGCUAGUGAUUUAAUUUUUCUAGUGAUAAAUCGUCCUCUCGAAAGAUUUAUACGAACGACAAUUUACGGAUUAAUCCACGCGAUUUUUCUCGAUGUCCGUAUCUCGAUUUGAGAAGAGAAUAAAUUUCGUGAAAAUUUGAAAUCUAUCUGGUUUUUUUUUUAACCGAAAAUAUUUUUUUUGAAACAAUAAUUUCAGAGAUAACUAACGUCCAAAGAUUAGACGUGUUGGAUUGACGUAAAAGUUUUUUUUUUUCUUUUUUCUUUUGACAAAUAACCAGAUGGAUUAUUAGAUGGAUGGAUGGAUCGUUAAUAAUAUUCAAAAAAUUGUCGAUACCGGCUGAAAAAUUGAAAUAAAAAUAAGAAUAAUUUUGCAUUUUUAUCGCCCAAGUAAAAUAUAUAAAAUAUGUGAAAACAUAAUUAUCGUUAACAGUUGGCAUUAUCGUUACGUAAAAAUGAGCUUUAAAUGGCAUAAACGCAAUUAAGGAGUUUAUCGAAUUCCUUAAGACUUAAGUAUCGUAUUAAUUGAAAAUAUUUUCUCUGUGGCAAAUUAUUAAAGAAUUUUUUAUGCCUCCAAAUAAAAAAAAAUCGAUCCGAUCGAUUUUCCACAAUUUCAUUAAAAAAAAAGAACUCUCAUUCGUCAAGUUUAUCAUUAUUUAAUUAUUCAAGAAAUAUGCUUUUUCUAAUAAGCUCCAACAAUUGUAAAUCUUUCUAGCAUACGUGUAUAUAUAAAAUUCCGCACCAAUUAGUUGCACCGCAGUCCGCUCGUUUCUCGUCGAAUUUUCUUGACGACAAAUUAACGACAUCAGGCUUCAAUCUGUCGAAGAUAUUAAAUUCGAUCGAUAACAUCUUUCCUUUCCUAUUUCUAAAUUAAAAAGUCGUUGUACUAAUGUGUUAUAAAAUAAUUUACAUUUUUUUCGUGAAAUAUAUAUAUAUAUAUAUAUGUGUGUGUGUGUGUGUGUGUGUGUGUGUGGUUAAGAAGAGAGGAAGGAAUGCGAAUUGAAAGUUAUUCGAUAAAACGCACCAGAAUUCCACGAUUCGAGGAUAAAUUAAUUUAAACGAGGUGUCUUUAUCAAAUUUUCUACGUGUAUUUACAUAUAAUUUAUACUUUUUAAUACGAUGUAAUGCUCGAGAAGUGUUUCUAGAAAAGAAAUCAAUACAACGAUUACAUAACCUCAAAAAUUGCAGCGUAACUGUAUAAUAAUUUAUUCGGUAAACAGGUUGGGCAAUCAAUUUCCGGUUGGAAAGUAUUAAAAGGGCAUGAAACGAUCGGCUCGUUUAUAAUCAAAUCAAAUUAUAAAGAGACGUUAGUUCUGGUGUUGUCAACACUGCAAGAAAGAAAAAACGUGUAAACGAUAUUAUUAAUAUACGGGUUGGUAUUCAAACUCGAAUGCAUACUUGUCGAUGCCAGUCGACUUUAAUGUUAGCGUGGGUGGUCACAGGUGAACGUAUGAAAUUGAUAAUUGUUAAGUGACGUGAAUUCUUAACUCGGUCGUGAGCAUAGUUAACAUGUGACAUGCUUCUGAAGACAAUGUACAAUACCUAUUGAUCCUUCAACUCAUCUCUCGUCGAAUUAAAUACUAUCGAUAUUACGUGAUAUCCUAAAAGGACAUACCUCAAAGGACACUUGAACAUCUAUUAUUAUUUCAAGCCUUUGUUUCAAAUAUGAUUAAUUAUAUACAGAGUGUUAAUAUAUUCGUGGUACACCUUCGAAAGGAACACAAAUGUCGGUAUAGAGAGAGAAAAAAAAAAUGGAAAAAAAUUGAACGGUCGAACGACAAAGUUGAUUUUUAUCGCCUAUGAUAAUUCUGGAAUCCUCGAUUUGCUGGCGAAACGGACGAUUCGAUCUGCUAUUACAGAGGCAAAUAGAAACGGUGUAUCUAUAAAUAAUCGAGUGGCUAUAACGGGAUAUAUAAUAACAGGGCCUCGAAUUAUUCAAGUACCGAGAGCAUAAUUAUCCAAUCGUUUGACUCCGGCUCCAUUCAAAGUCACCGGAGCAGCACGACAAGCAAUAACUUUUAGAUCCUGUGCCACGACGCCCCAUAUUUUACGAUUACAACGUCCACGUAGGUGAACGUGAUUGUCUGCGGCGAUGUUAUUUCAUAGUAGUCUGAUACACUAUAUAACGAACGAGGCAACGAGAGUUUCGAGCCGAUGCUGAUUUACCGACCUGGCAAUAGUUUCGUUUUGGUAAAGGAUUUUAAUACUUUCUUAAUUCAAAAUACAAACUGUAUUUGACAGUCGUCAUUUUCUCAAAGGAUAAAGUUAAUCUUCAUGGAUUCUUUUUCUUCGUUUUUUUAUUUUAUUAACAAUUUAUUAAAUCUUUCAAUUUUUUCAUCUUACAUAUAUUAUUUUGUUAAAAGUUAUCAACAUCACCUAAAUUCUUCCACCUAACCUCUUUUUCGAUCAUCCUCUCUCCGAAAGGCUGCAACCUGCGCAAAUUCACAACGCGCAACUACACAUGCGCACUGUUCGUUGUUCAGCGCAACGAUAGCAGCGCUCGAAUCGAACGAAACGAACGAUACGGAUAACUAAUAAGUUUUCGUUUCCUUUUCCUAUCUUCCCUUCUUCCCUCUCACUCCUCCCAAAGAAAAAAAGAAAAAAGAAGACGGUGGCGUGCGUUACACAAGAACGAUAAGAAGGAGAAAACGCUUGGUGCAAAGCGCGUGCACAACUCGAAGGGGCAUGUCCUUCGGCGUAAAAGUCCUGGCCCAUGGGCCCAACGACCGUGUGUCGUUAUCGGGCCUGCUUACGCCACAUUUCACUCGAGUCUCUGCUCCAGUCCUCGACUAUAGUGUAUAUACAUACAUAUAUAUAUAUAUAAGCAUUCGAUGCUUUUUUUUACUUGGAACGACGUGAACCAGAUCUUUUUGCGGCGAACUCGCUGUAACGUUAACUCUUAAACGGCGGCCAACGCCUCGCCACUUUCUGCGCUCGCCUGGCCAUUUGCGGCGGCUUUGCCAUGUCAAUGCAAAUGUUCUUCCUGACAAUGUAACGACGCCGUGGAAGUACUACUAUGGGAAAAGUUUAUCCCGGGAUUCAUGGCAUGAGAAAAUACGUGUCGCCUCGCCUCCGCAACACGAAUUCUUCGUCGAUCCUUGAAGAUUAACAAACUAAAGAUCGAAACGGAGACGAUGAAUUAUUACGGAUGUUUGGAAUUCAAUUUUUGGAACGACGAGAAAUAUUAUUUCGAAACGUUUUUAUGGAAGAUGAUCGUUACUUUUUUUUCUUUUUUGACCAAUAAAGUCGAUCCAAAUGGAGAGAAGAUGGAUUGUAUUGUGUAUACGUUUGUGAAUAACCAGAACUGUUUUUUUUAAUUUUCGUCUCGAAAAAUAUCUUUAUAUAUGAUCUUACUUUUUUCUUUUUUCGCAGGUUAUAAAAAAUAAUGGAUCCAAAUGGAGAAGAUGGAUCAUCGUAAUCGGCAAUUUGGAAUUCAAUUUUUGGAAAUGGCGAGUUUCUUUUGUCAUUUUUCUCUUUUCCUUUUAUUCGACCGUACCCGAAUGUAAUAAUUGUGAACGUAUUCAAUAUCCAUCGUUCGCAACGUUCUGGAAACAAAUGGAGGGCAAACUCGCAUUAGGCUCGUGCAUAUAUCGGGCAACUUUCAUCCGGGCAUUUUUAUUCGACCUGCGGACAGCGUCACGGAGUGACCGCGUACAUCGAACAAAACGAUUUCACGAGCAGAAGCUGGUGAAAUGGAAAAUCAUUCUCGUUUUCUUUCGCCUAGUUUUCUUCUCCUUUUUUCGAUGAAAUACGAGCAACUCGUGAAACCUUAACGAUCGUUGCGCAACCGCACAAUUAUCGCGUGCUCAGACUGUCGGCAAUUCCUGACUUACACACAUUUUGUGCCUCGUUGCCGUGGCAAAAAAGACAGAGAGAGAGAGAGAGAAAAGGAACGUGGUUAAUCGUAAUAAUUAUUUCAACCUGUUGUCAACCGCCAGUCCAUUGUAUACGAGCGAAGAAUAUCUUGGAAUAUUUUUAUCCUAUUCCAAUAAUUCGAAACAAAGUUUCUAAAGUAACGGAUUGUUGAAAUUCCGAAACCACAAUUGUGAUGUUUAAACGAAACGAGGUUAUUCGAGUUAAAUCAUUUAAAUCUCUAUAAACAAUACUGCGUAACUUUCACGUUUCUAAUUAUUCCCAUUCCUUUCGAUUUGCUCGAAACAUAACCUAACUUUUUCCCGCUCGAUCGCGCGAUUCUCCGACUCGUUCCUUUCCAUUUAUCCCAGCCAUAACCUAACUUUUUCGCGCCCGCUCGCGUGAUUUUCACAUUUCUCAACUCAUUCCUUUCCAUUUAUCCCGAGCACACUCCAACACUUUUCUUCGAUCGCGUGAUUUUCGCGUUUCCAAUUAUUCCUUUCGAUAUAUUCGAGUUAUAACCUAACUUUUUCGACGAAACGGAUACGAAACAUAACCUAACUUUUCCUCGACAUCGAAAAAUGGAAACUAACUUUUUCGCGGCCAAUCCAGCGCUGGAAAAAAGUAAUCUCUCGAAAGCACGAAAUCACGAAAUCACGAUUGUCCAUUUUUUUCUCGCGUUUUCCACGACGCGCCAAUUCGUAUCUCGUUCGAUUAUCGGUCGAUGAAUUUCCUUCGAAUGAUCCUUUUUUUUCGGGGCAGGAAAUCUAAAGAGUCGAAAAAAAGGAGAGAGGAGUGAAAGUUCAAGAUUAAAAGAUUACGCGAGAAAUCGCGAAACAGGGAGUACAAUCGUUUUUUGAUCGUUACGUGAGCAUCGUUCGCUCGGAAUUCAUUUCGAGGAAAGUUUUAACGAACCGGAACCAUAAACGGAGAGUCGAUGCUGCUCCACUCGUUGUUAAAUUUACGAUAUAAUUACGAUCACUUUGAAAAAGAUAGCGAAACCGGUUUUUCUCCUUUUUUUUUUUCCCCCUUUCUUUUAUUAUUUUCGUUUCUUUUUUUUCUUUUUUCCAGAUUAUUCACCCGAUUGCUCGAACGACGAUCCCGAUUUUUCUCUUUCUUUCCUUUUUCCGCCACAGAUCGAUAAUUUCGCCUCUCGUUAUUGGUCGACGCGAUUCAAUUCGAUCCAAUACAUUCCUCCUUUUGUUUCAGAUUACCAUGCUUACGAUGGAGGAUAAAAGGUGAUUAAAAUGGGUGAUUAAAAUAGGUGUUUUUAAUACUAGAACCUGUAAUAUCGAUUUAUUCGUUUUAACAUACAAAUGGUCGCUGUAUCGUGAAGAUGUAAGUAGAUAUAAGUUUAAAUACUAAAAACUACGAUAUUAAUCGAAAUAUAUUUUCAUAUAAGAUGAAACAAUCAAAAUCAUUGUCUCCAUUAUUGUUCUAGCGUUCUAAAAUCCUUGAAACAUGAUUAAUGAUGAGUCAAUAAAAGGAAAAAUAUUAUGAAAUUGUGAAAAUUGGAAAGAAAGGGAGUAAUUAUUAGAAAAUAUAUUUUCCAUAUUUAAUUAUACCAUUAUUUUUCAAUCUCCUGCGCGCAAAAAUCUGUUUACCUGCUCUCCAACGAAACCAUCGUCACACGAGAGGAAGUAUUAUGCGACAGGAGGAGGAGGACAUGUUUUUACGUAACGAAAUAAUCGUCGCGCAUUUCAUAACCGCGCUUAUUAAUAUCCAUUGUGUGCCCUUUUUCUUCUACAAAAAAGAAAAGAAAAAAAGAAACGCUUUGCAGCAAAAAAGCUUAAUUCGCACUGCAGCGAAUUAGAAAGCGACAAUGCAAAAGUAUUUCUCUCGAUUCCUUCUUCUUCUUCUUCCCUUUCUCGAGCAAGAGAGACAAAAUAUUUGGGGCUACCGGCGUUACGCGAGGCAUUCGCAUAAAAUUAUCAUAUUCGAUUUAAACGGACUUAACGAACAACCAAGAAAGUUGCAUUCCCCCGGUGUCCGGUUGAAUAAAUUAAGGAGGCGUGGUUGUCGAGAGCCGUUCGUCUCGAAUCGAUGAUUCACGAUAAUGUCGAGCGUAAUUUCUCUUAUUUUUCCUCCUCCUCCUCCUCCACUUCUUCCUCUUUUUGCCUCUCGCUCCGAUACUCGAGCAGGUUAAACGCUCUCUCUCUCUCACUCCACCGUCUGUUAAACACUUGGAGAUAGAUUCAUUUUGUGUAGUGAUGUGUAUAUAUGUAUAUGUAUAUGUAUACUCGGUGUAUAUACACGUAUGUUGGUUAGUGACAGGAAUAUUUUCCGAAGUUGAAUAAUACUCGAGGUUGAUCGAGGUAAUUCAAUCGAGGUGUUUUUUCUUUUUUUUUUUUUUUUUUUUCUCUCCAUUUUUAUUACGAGGAGAAAUAUCUUUGAGAUAUUUGCGGAUAUUAUUAUCGUACGAGUAUAUAAAUAUCACUUUGAGGAAAAAUUCUAAAAUUUCUUUAAUUGCGAAUUACGUUUAAUUUAUAUGGGUUUU